UUCUAGAUCAAGAUAAAAGCUUGCAAUACAGAAUCAUGCACUGAAAAAGAACUGGGUUAUUUAUUAAUGGUACACCAAUCAGAAGAUGGCAAGAAAUCGGUCUAAAGGCUGUUUUUUUCCCCUUUCUUAAUCAUGCAUUAGGAAGUAUUUAAUAAAAGUAAUUAAUUGUCUUAAACAAAGAUCAGUCAUUACAAAAAUGUAAGAACUAAUCUGUGAAAAAUUAAAAAAUAAAACAUAACAUUAUGG
rnacentral:lncRNA from 1 species